rnacentral:rRNA from 1 species
UACGUAGGGUGCAAGCGUUGUCCGGAAUUAUUGGGCGUAAAGAGCUUGUAGGCGGUUUGUCGCGUCUGCUGUGAAAUUUCGGGGCUCAACCCCGAACUUGCAGUGGGUACGGGCAGACUAGAGUGUGGUAGGGGAGACUGGAAUUCCUGGUGUAGCGGUGGAAUGCGCAGAUAUCAGGAGGAACACCGGUGGCGAAGGCGGUUCUCUGGGCAUUACCUGACGCUGAGGAGCGAAAGCAUGGGGAGCGAACAGG